rnacentral:lncRNA from 1 species
GUGAUACAUCUCCGGAAUUUUCCAACGAUUUGAUUCCCAGAAACCGAAGAUGCAACUCUGGAGUUUUUAAGUGCAUUUUUUGGCAAUUUUUUCUUGUGCUCAUUGUGUAACACUUGUGUAGUUUACUUACGGGUAUUUUUGGAGAUUGGCAAGACCGAUUGGGGCACAAAAGGAUUGUAUAACAUGCAUUUGCCUAGAGGGAAA